AAUACUACCAAUCUCCGAGCCUCGCUGCCUACUGGGAAGGUCCUUAUGGCGACAGGCCGACGGGUUCCGCUGGAAACAGUGGCGCCUCCCUUUUUGGAAAGGAGAUUUUACCCGGAACCA
rfam:Pelobacter carbinolicus DSM 2380, complete genome.